GAACGGGUGAGUAACACGUGGGUGAUCUGCCCUGCACUUUGGGAUAAGCCUGGGAAACUGGGUCUAAUACCGAAUAGGACCACGCGCUUCAUGGUGUGUGGUGGAAAGCUUUUGCGGUGUGGGAUGGGCCCGCGGCCUAUCAGCUUGUUGGUGGGGUAAUGGCCUACCAAGGCGACGACGGGUAGCCGGCCUGAGAGGGUGACCGGCCACACUGGGACUGAGAUACGGCCCAGACUCCUACGGGAGGCAGCAGUGGGGAAUAUUGCACAAUGGGCGCAAGCCUGAUGCAGCGACGCCGCGUGAGGGAUGACGGCCUUCGGGUUGUAAACCUCUUUCAAUAGGGACGAAGCGCAAGUGACGGUACCUAUAGAAGAAGCACCGGCCAACUACGUGCCAGCAGCCGCGGUAAUACGUAGGGUGCGAGCGUUGUCCGGAAUUACUGGGCGUAAAGAGCUCGUAGGUGGUUUGUCGCGUUGUUCGUGAAAACUCACAGCUUAACUGUGGGCGUGCGGGCGAUACGGGCAGACUAGAGUACUGCAGGGGAGACUGGAAUUCCUGGUGUAGCGGUGGAAUGCGCAGAUAUCAGGAGGAACACCGGUGGCGAAGGCGGGUCUCUGGGCAGUAACUGACGCUGAGGAGCGAAAGCGUGGGGAGCGAACAGGAUUAGAUACCCUGGUAGUCCACGCCGUANACGGUGGGUACUAGGUGUGGGUUCCUUCCUUGGGAUCCGUGCCGUAGCUAACGCAUUAAGUACCCCGCCUGGNGAGUACGGCCGCAAGGCUAAAACUCAAAGGAAUUGACGGGGGCNNNCACAAGCGGCGGAGCAUGUGGAUUAAU
rnacentral:rRNA from 1 species